rnacentral:lncRNA from 1 species
AGUAUCGCGAGAUCAGGAAGGUGGCCGAGUGUGUCGCCGCGGCCAUCAGGGGGGUUAUAGCCAUGUGACUGAUCUUCGUCCAAGAAUAUGUAAAGAAAAAGUGUUGAGUUGGCUUUUAGGGCUAGAGCAAUGUAUCUUAGGCUCACUUAAGGAAGCUGUAGAGAUGAGCCCAAGGAGGGAAACCAGAAGAGCCCCCCAGGCUCACCAGUUGUUUGUUGGCUCCCUACAAACAUGUCAUUCAAGUGGCUAAUCUUACAACAGCACAAAUUCAUCUAACCAGAAAGAGAAGAGGAGGCUCCAAAGGCACUUGACUACUGAGCAUCACCCUGGACGUGUACAAGUCUGCGUCCUUAUUGUUUUCUUCAUUGGGCCGAACUUUCUGGUCCUCAUCCAACAGCUCUUCUAUCACGUGUUCGAAAGUGUCAGCCAAUGAUGUCAAGCCUCUUGAACCUGCCUUGGGCCCAUUCACGCUCUCCAGAGUCCCAUGGGUCCGCACACCUGGAGAUACUCUAUUAUAGCAAAGAAGAAAGAUAAUUUCAUUGAGCCAUCCUGUUUUACAGCACCCAACAGAAUCCCUUCAAAGCCUCGUGGUCUGACACCCUAUGCUACGUGACUUGUGACCCAUCCAUUUGUCAUGUUCUUCGGGAAUGUGGCUAAGGGGCUAAGAUGUGACUUGAAAAGAAAGGUAGAACAAGAUCAUCUCAAAUUUAUUAUCAAGGAAUAGUUCAGAAAACGACUUCAGACCACAGAGACAGCAGAACAGAUGGUCCGGCAUGGAUAGAGCAUCAGACACUCACAGACUGUGCCAACAAGAGCCAUCGAGUCAAAACAGCCAAAGGAAGGAGGGUCAUGGAAUGGGUUCUCUCACACCAAACUGAUGCCCAGAGGCCCUCAGCAUGAAUAACAAAGGCAACCAGACCCACAAGCCAUACUGAGUGGAUACAAAACCUAUACCUAGGCUG